rnacentral:rRNA from 1 species
AUUGAACGCCGGCGGCAGGCUUAACACAUGCAAGUCGAGCGGAGAUGAGGUGCUUGCACCUUAUCUUAGCGGCGGACGGGUGAGUAAUGCUUAGGAAUCUGCCUAUUAGUGGGGGACAACAUUCCGAAAGGAAUGCUAAUACCGCAUACGUCCUACGGGAGAAAGCAGGGGAUCUUCGGACCUUGCGCUAAUAGAUGAGCCUAAGUCGGAUUAGCUAGUUGGUGGGGUAAAGGCCUACCAAGGCGACGAUCUGUAGCGGGUCUGAGAGGAUGAUCCGCCACACUGGGACUGAGACACGGCCCAGACUCCUACGGGAGGGAGCAGUGGGGAAUAUUGGACAAUGGGGGGAACCCUGAUCCAGCCAUGCCGCGUGUGUGAAGAAGGCCUUAUGGUUGUAAAGCACUUUAAGCGAGGAGGAGGCUACUGAGACUAAUACUCUUGGAUAGUGGACGUUACUCGCAGAAUAAGCACCGGCUAACUCUGUGCCAGCAGCCGCCGCCG